rnacentral:rRNA from 1 species
CCUACGGGGGGCUGCAGUGGGGAAUAUUGGACAAUGGGGGGAACCCUGAUCCAGCCAUGCCGCGUGUGUGAAGAAGGCCCUCGGGUUGUAAGGCACUUUCAGUGAGGAAGAACGCCUGGUGGUUAAUACCCAUCAGGAAAGACAUCACUCACAGAAGAAGCACCGGCUAACUCCGUGCCAGCAGCCGCGGUAAUACGGAGGGUGCGAGCGUUAAUCGGAAUUACUGGGCGUAAAGCGCGCGUAGGUGGCUUGAUAAGCCGGUUGUGAAAGCCCCGGGCUCAACCUGGGAACGGCAUCCGGAACUGUCAAGCUAGAGUGCAGGAGAGGAAGGUAGAAUUCCCGGUGUAGCGGUGAAAUGCGUAGAGAUCGGGAGGAAUACCAGUGGCGAAGGCGGCCUUCUGGACUGACACUGACACUGAGGUGCGAAAGCGUGGGUAGCAAACAGGAUUAGAUACCCUUGUAGUC